CAACCUCACAUCACAUGUGGCGACCUGCUGAAUUUAAGCAUAUUAGUCAGCGGAGGAAAAGAAACUAAUGAGGAUUCCCUCAGUAAUGGCGAGCGAAGAGGGAAAAGCCCAGCGCUGAACCCCGCCCCGCGGUGGGGCGCGGGACAUGUGGCGUACAGAAGCCCCUCUCCCCGGCGGCGCUCUUGGGGGACCCAAGUCCUUGUGAUCAAGGCCGCAGCCUGCGGACAGUGUGAGGCCCGGUAGUGGUCCCCCGGCGUGCUGGGCCCGGGGCUUCUCGGAGUCAGGUUGCUUGGAAAUGCAGCCCAAAGUGGGUGGUAAACUCCAUCUAAGGCUAAAUACCGGCACGUCACUGAUAGCCAACAAAUACCGUAAGGGAAAGUUGAAAAGAACUUUGAAGAGAGAGUUCAAGAGGGCAUGAAACCGUUAAGAGGUAAAUGGGUGGGGCCCGCGCAGUCAGCCUGGAGGAUUCAACCUGGUGAGUUGCGGUCGGCCGGCGCAGGUUCAGUGGAUCCUCGCCUCCGCCUCCCCUCCAUCCCCCGGGCAAACCCCGUCCGCGGGGGCGGGCUGGGGGGGUAGGCCGGUGCGGGGACUGCCCCCCUGGCCAGCGGCUGGCUCUGGCCGGGUGCAUUUCCUCCACGGCGGUGUGCCGCAACCGGCUCCGGGUUGUCUGGGAAGGCCUCCGGCAGGCAGGUGGCCAUAGCGGUCCUGACGUGCAAAUCAGUCAUCCAACCCGGGUCUAAGGGCGAAAGGCUAAUCAAACCAUCUAGUAGCUGGUUCCCUCCGAAGUUUCCCUCAGGAUAGCUGGCACUCGGCAAUGGGCAGUUUUACCCGGUAAAGCGAAUGAUUAGAGGUCUUGGGGCCGAAACGAUCUCAACCUAUUCUCAAACUUUCAAUGGGUAAGGGGGCCGGCUCGCUGGCGUGGAGCCGCGCCGUGGAAUGCGAGUGCUCAGUGGGCCACUUUUGGUAAGCAGAACUGGUGCUGUGGGAUGAACCGAACGCCGGGUCAGGGCGCUCGAUGCCGACGCUCAUCAGAGCCCAGAAAAGGUGUUGGUUGAUCUAGAUAGCAGGAUGGUGGCCAUGGAAGUCGGAAUCUGCUAAGGAGUGUGUAACAACUCACCUGUCGAAUCAACUAGCCCUGAAAAUGGAUGGCACUGGAGUGUCGGGCCCAUACCCCGCCGUUGCCGGCAGUGCGAUGCCCGCCAGAGCUAGGCUGCGACGAGUAGGAGGGCCGCUGCCGAGCGCCUCGAAGCCUGGGGCGUGGGCCUGGGUGGAGGCGCCGCAGGUGCAGAUCUUGGUGGUAGUAGCAAAUAUUCAAACGAGAGCUUUGAAGGCCGAAGUGGAGCAGGGUUCCAUGUGAACAGCAGUUGAACAUGGGUCAGUCGGUCCUAAGCGAUAGGCGAGCGCCAUUCCAAAAGGGCGGGCAAUGGCCUCUGUUGCCCUCAGCCAAUCGAAAGGGAAUCGGGUUCAGAUCCCUGAAUCUGGAGUGGCGGAGACGGGCACUGCGAGGCGCCCAGUGCGGUGACGCAACCGAUCCCGGAGAAGCCGGCGGGAGCCCUAGGGAGAGUUCUCUUUUCUUUGUGAAGGGCUGGGCGCCCUGGAAUGGGUUCGCCCCGAGAGAGGGGCCUGCAACUUGGAAAGCGUCACGGUUCUGGCAGUGUCCGGUGAGCUCUCACUGGCCCGUGAAAGUCCAGGGGAGAGGGUGUAAGUCUCGUGCUGGGCUGUACCCAUAUCCGCAGCAGGUCUCCAAGGUGAACAGCCUCUGGCAUGUUGGAACAAUGUAGGUAAGGGAAGUCAGCAGGCCGGAUCCGCAACUUUGGGAUAAGGAUUGGCUCUAAGGGCUGGGUCGGUCGGGCUUGGGCGCGAAGCAAGGCUGGGCGCAUGCCGCAGCUGGACGAGGCGCUGCGUGGGGGUGAGUGCGCUCCGCGUGGCCCGCCCGGGUGCUGGGGCGCGUGCGCGCGGGCGGCGACUCUGCAUGCGCGCUGGGCCCUUCCCGUGGAUCGCCUCAGCUGCGGCGGGUGCCGCCUGCCCCCCCCCUCCGCCUGCCCUCCACCUUGCCACGGCCGGCGCCCCAGCGGCGGCCGCUGUUGUUGUCGCGCGCUGCCGCCCCAUCAGUUCCUGCCAGUGGGGUCCCCGCAGCGCGUGACCAGCGCGUGCACAGGGGAGGGUCCCCGGGGGGGUCCCUGGGCUGGCGCCCUGCCUUGGCCGGCGCCUAGCAGCUGGCUUAGAACUGGUGCGGACCAGGGGAAUCCGACUGUUUAAUUAAAACAAAGCAUCGUGAAGGCCUGAGGCGGGUGUUGACGUGAUGUGAUUUCUGCCCAGUGCUCUGAAUGUCAAAGUGAAGAAAUUCAAUGAAGCGUGGGUAAAUGGCAGGAGUAACUAUGCGGCCACAUCAUUGGCUUGUGCCCUGUGACGAAGGACGCCAGAAUCAAGAGGCACAGUCGCAUUGGCGAGAGGCUCGUUGAGGAGGCAAAAAAGAGAGACUAGGUGGUGUUCAAGGAGC